rnacentral:rRNA from 1 species
GAUGAACGCUGGCGGCGUGCUUAAUACAUGCAAGUCGAGCGAACGGACGAGAAGCUUGCUUCUUUGAUGUUAGCGGCGGACGGGUGUGUAACACGUGGAUAACCUACCUAUAAGACUGGGAUCACUUCGGGACACCGGCGCUAAUACCGGAUAAUAUUUUGAACCGCAUGGUUGAAUAGUGAAAGUCGGUCUUUCGGUCACUUAUAGAUGGAUCCGCGCUGCAUUAGCUAGUUGGUAAGGUAACGGCCUACCAAGGCAACAAUGCAUAGCCGACCUGAGAGAGGGAUCGGCCACACUGGAACUGAGACACGGGCCAGAGUCCUACGGGAGGCAGCAGAAGGGGAUCUGCCGCAAUGGGCGAGAGCCUGACGGAGCAGCGCCGCGUGAGUGAUAAAAGUCUUCGGAUCGUAAAACUCUGUUAUGGGGGAAGAACAUAUGUGUAAGUAACUGUGCACAUCUUGACGGUACCUAAUCAGAAAGCCACGGCUAACUACGUG